AGGGGCGUGGAGCAGUGGACAACCUCGCCGGGCUUUGACCCCGGAGACGCCCGUUCGAAUCGGGCCGUCCCUACCA
rnacentral:tRNA from 1 species